GAAAUAAAUUAAUAAAGCUUCUAACUUUAAAAUGGAUAUUCAUAAAUAUCAUUAUUUCU
rnacentral:tRNA from 1 species